rnacentral:lncRNA from 1 species
UAUAGCAUUAGAUAAAAAGACCAAAACUCAAAAACUUAACUUUGACCAAUGAACCAUGAAAAUGAGGUCAAGGUCACAUGACAUCUGCCCGCUAGACAUGUACACUUAACAAUCAUUCCAUAGAACAAAUAUAGUAGACCUAUUGCAUAUGGUAUAAGAAAAACAGACCAAAACACAAAAAUUUAACUAUAACCACUGAACCAUGAAAAUGAGGUCAAGGUCAGAUGACACCUGCCAGUUGGACAUGUACACCUUACAGUCCUUCCAUACACCGAAUAUACUAGCCCUAUUGCUUAUAGUAUCUGAGAUAUGGACUUGACCACCAAAACUUAACCUUGUUCACUGAUCCAUGAAAUGAGGUCGAGGUCAAGUGAAAACUGUCUGACAGACACGAGGACCUUGCAAGGUACGCACAUAUCAAAUAUAGUUAUCCUAUUACUUAUAAUAAGAGAGUAUUCAACAUUACAAAAAAUUUGAACUUUUUUUUCAAGUGGUCACUGAACCAUGAAAAUGAGGUCAAGGACAUUGGACAUGUGACUGACGGAAACUUCGUAACAUGAAGCAUCUAUAUACAAAGUAUGAAGCAUCCAGGUCUUCCACCUUCUAAAAUAUAAAGCUUUUAAGAAGUGAGCUAACGCCGCCGCCGGAUCACUAUCCCUAUGUCGAGCUUUCUGCAACAAAAGUUGCAGGCUCGACAAAAAUUAUG